GGGCCAGUAGGUUGGUCGUGCCACCGGUACGUACUGGUCUCACUGAUUCCUCCUUCCUGAAGAACCGUAAUGCCAUUAAUUUGGUGUUGCGGGGAAACAGGACUGUUACUUUGAAAAAAUUAGAGUGUUUAAAGCAAGCUAACGCUUGAAUACAUUAGCAUGGAAUAAUGAAAUAGGACGAUCGAUCCUAUUUUAUUGGUUUCUAGGAUUGACGUA
rnacentral:rRNA from 1 species